AUGUCCUGUGUCCCAUGUCCCCAAUGCGCAAGCGUGUCCCCAACGUGUCUCGUGUCCCCGACGCACCUGAGUCCUGGGUCCCCAACACGUGUCCUGUGUCCCCAAUGCACAACUGUCGCCAGCAUGUGUCCCCAACACGUUUCCCUGUCCCCAAUGCGUGUCCCAUGUCCCCAAUGUGUCCCCAACCCAUGUCGUGUCCCCAACACGUGUCCCCAACCCACGUCCCCAACACCUCAUGUCCCCAACACGUGUCCCUGUCCCCGACAUGCACCUGUGUCCCCAUGUCCCACGUCCCCAAUGUGUCCCCAACACGUGUCCCCAACCGAUGUCCCCAUCCCUGUGUCCCGUGUCCCCAACUCAUCCCGUGUCCCCAACAUCUCAUGUCCCCAAGUGUCCUGUAUCCCCAACACGUCCUCUACACGUGUCCCUGUCUCCAACAUGCACCUGUGUCAUGUCCCCAAUGUGUCCCCAACUCGUGUCCUGUGUCCCCAAUACGUGUCCCCAACCCAUGUCCCCAUCCCCAUGUGUCAUGUCCCCAACACGUCCCCAACACAUGUCCCCAACAUAUCUCAUGUCCCCAAGUGUCCUGUGCCCCCGUGUCCCUGUCCCCAACCUGUGUCCCCAUGUCCCCAACCCAUGUCCUGUGUCCCCAAUGCACAACUGUCCCCAACAUGUCCCCAACCCAUGUCCCCGUCCCCAACAUGUGUCCUGUGUCCCCAGCACAUCUCAUGUCCCCAACAGUGUCUCGUGUCCCCAACGCGUGUCCCUGCCCUAACCUGUGUCCCAUGUCCCCAAUGUGUCCCCAACUCGUGUCCUGUGUCCCCAACCCAUGUCCCCAUCCCCAUGUCGUGUCCCCAACCCAUGUCCCCAACACAUCUCAUGUCCCCAACUGUCCUGUGCCAUGUCCCUGUCCCCAACCUGUGUCCCAUGUCCCCAACCCAUGUCCUGUGUCCCCAAUACGUGUCCCCAACCUGUGUCCCGUGUCCCCAAAACAUGUCCCCAACCUGUGUCUUGUGUCCCCAAUACGUGUCCUGGGUCCCCAACACGCACAAGUGUGUCCCCAACCUGUGUCCCACGUCCCUAAUGCGUCCCCAACCCGUGUCCCCAUCCAUGUGUCCUGUGUCCCCAACGCAUCUCAUGUCCCCAAGUGUCCUGUGUCCCCAACACGUGUCCCUGCCCACAGCCUGUGUCCCAUGUCCCCAAUGUGUCCCCAACCUGUGUCCCGUGUCCCCAAAACAUGUCACCAACCCGUGUCCCAUGUCCCCAAUGUGUCCCCAACCUGUGUCCCAUGUCCCCAAUGUGUCCCCA
rnacentral:lncRNA from 1 species